ACCGGCCCAGCGCGAGUAAAAUAGGAGCAGACACCUCCGCUUCCGGCCCCUACUGCCCACAAACGCCCUUCUCCCCAUUUCACUCACCCUCUGCCUCUAGGGUUUCCCCCGAUACAAUGGCGAAGUGCAGGAUCUGCCGCCAGUACUGGAGACACCUUGUCAAGCACCACAGCUACGCAGAUCCAAGCCGAUGUCGCGCACCCAGUCAUCAUCGCCAGUCAUCGUCUUCUUCUGCAGCAACGACCCAAUCUCGUGCGUGGGUGGAGUCGACAAGCGCCGGUUUCUUCUUCCUCAACGACGGCCACCAAUUCCGAAUCCCAACAGGGUGAAGAAUACGAACAUCUAGAGUACAUCAUUCGAGGACCACCCCCUGCUAUCCAAUACUGCGGAGAGCUUGAAAAGUACUGUCACUGGGGCAAUGAAGUGAAGCUCUAUCGGCGCCAUGUGGACAAGUUGUAUGCAAUGUUCCCCCGCAAAAUACGAGAUAUCAAAUACUAUGUCUGCACCGUCAACAAAACAUUCGCACAGCAAGGCCAACGGAUGUAUUUUCAGGUCCACUACACCAAAUAAAACCUGAAAAAGUACAUUAAUCCAGAUGAUGACAUGCUCAAGGUCAAGCUCGCAAACAGUAGUCUGCACACCAAUUGUCGUAUCAUGUUGGGAACAGAAAAGAGAGCAACAGUAACCAGAAACUGGUCAGAGUUCCGCCGUUGUGCAAACAUCCAUGAAGGAGAUAUCUGCGCCUUCCGUUUCAACCUUACCAUAGAGCACCGCCUGACUCUCAUCAUCCAUGUGCUCUAAAUGGACCAUCAACAGCAACACAGGCCUUCUGCAUGCAUAGCUUGUGGCUUUAAAAACAUCUAAUUUGGCUCUAUGAUAGGAUGAACCUUACCUUGGUCUCCAAUGAUGACAUGCAUUGCUUUUGUACAAAUGCCGCCUAUAUUAUAAUCUAUGUAACCCUAGAUGCUAUUACUCAUGUGCACCUCAUCCAUCUACUGAACUUUCGCCAGGCAUAAUGCUUAUUCCUUUCUUUCUAAUACCAUUAUAAAUAUUCUGUGUACCAAUCUACCC
rnacentral:rRNA from 1 species